UUAGGAGUAGAACUUGUAAUAGAAACCCGAAACGUCUCCCAAGACUCUGGUAAAGAUAGCAAUAGAAAUAGUCCCAAAAGUUCAUCUUCAAAUUUAAUACCCAUUCCUGACAUCGGAUCAAGGAACCCCUGAAAUUCACUCAAGUGAUCUGAAAUAGAAGUCCCCUCCUUAUACUUCAAACUUAUGAAGCUAUUCAAACAAGAACAAUUUAUUAUUCCCUGAUUUAGAGGCAUA
rnacentral:lncRNA from 1 species